GGGGUUGUAGCUCAGCGGUAGAGCUCUCACCUAGAACCUGUGAGGCCCUGGGUUUGAUCCUCAGCACCACA
rnacentral:tRNA from 1 species